UGAGGCUUUAUUCCUUUAUUUAAAAGCCCAUUAUAAUAAGGAAGAAGAGGCUGCACGUGCACACACGGGCCACGUGUCACUCACUUCCUCACCUUACAGGUGAUUUCUAUUGGGCAUGUCUUAAGCCCAAACUUCAUAAGCCGGUAAAACCAACGACGAACUUAAAAAAACUCCGCCGUAGAUUCUCAAGAUCGGAUAUUUAGCGCUAGACAGAGGCAGAGAUGCAGAGGGACGUGUCGAGCAGCAACACUUAGAAUUAUGGAGACGCACACAACUGGGACGCUCGUUACGUGCAAGACGCGCUAUCCUUCGACUGGUACCAACGCUAUUGGAGUAUUAAUGUUAAUGGUUAAGGUUUUCUUUGGCCUAACCACUCUGGUUUAGCUUCCAUUUACUAAACCGGAUGUAUACAGUUGUAAAGCUUAACUUUCUAAACACUCUUUUCACAGAAUAACAAACUUUCUAUCAUUUUGAUUCUCAAGUUGUAAUACGGUAUCAGAGCAGUGAAGAUUCGCGUUUUCCUGCCAAAUUUUCUCGGAAAAACCUUCGCAUUUUCUCUUCAAUUCAUCUUUUCCUCUUCGAGUUAUCUUUCAUGAGCUUAUCAUUGAGAGAUCUCGUUCGUUUUUUCGUCAACACUCUGUUUCUGGAGAUCUUUGCGAUUUAUUGAUUUCUCUGGUCAAUCACACAGUUAGACAUCAGUAACGCGUUUCUGAAUGGUGAUCUUGAUGAAGAAAUAUACAUGCGAAUUCCAGAGGGUUAUGAGGAGCUUACAUACAAGAAAGUUCCACCUAAUUCUGUGUGUAAACUUCACAAAUAGCUUUAUGGUCUCAAACAAGCAUCCAGACAGUGGAAUCAUAAACUCUCUCAUGUGAUUUUUUCUGCUGGAUUCAAGAAGACACAUUCUGAUCAUUCCUUAUUCAUUCGAUAUGACGACAAGGUGUUUCUUUCUGUGCUCGUCUACGUGGAUGAUAUUCUUAUCAUUGGAAACAGUGAUGCAGCCAUUGAUGAUUUCAAGAGUAUACUCAAGGCGACCUUGGUCCUGCUAAAUAUUUUCUUGGGUUUGAAAUAGCAAGGAACAAUACGGGUAUAUCUCUUAAUCAAAGGAAGUAUGCUUUGGAACUUCCGGAAGAAGCUGGUAUGUUAGGCUGCAAACCUCUCUCUGUUCCGAUGGAACCAAACACCAAGUUUUCUCUGAAAUUUGGUGAUCCUUUAUCUGAUCCAUCGGUAUUCAGAAGACUUGUUGGAAGGUUUCUUUAUCUUACACAUACAAGACCUGAUAUUACUUUUGCUGUCCAUAAGUUGAGCCAGUUUAUGGCGGCUCCAACAAACCUUCAUCUUCAAGCUGCUUAUCGAGUACUAAGAUACUUGAAGAAUGAUCCGGCGCAGGGUUUGUUUUACUCUGCUUCUUCAGAUUUGAAGCUCUGAAGCUGAGUAUCGUGCUAUGGCUGACGCAACCUGUGAGCUCAUUUGGAUACAUACGUUGUUACAAGAAAUACAUUGUGCUCCUCCUGGUCCUGCCACUCUCUUCUGUGACAACCAAUCAGCUCUAUACAUUGCUUCAAAUCCAGUGUAUCAUGAGCGCACAAAGCACAUCCAGAUUGAUUGUCAUGUGGUUAGAGAAAGGUUACAAAGUGGCCUCCUCAAGACUUUACAUGUGCGGUCUGAGUUGCAGUUAGCGGAUGUGUUUACCAAGCCGGUUCAACCAAGUCUCCUCAGAAGUUUACUUGUCAAGAUGAGAAUUCACAGCUUAUGCAUUCCAUCUUAAGGGGAGGGCAUUGGAGUAUUAAUGUUAAUGGUUAAGGUUUCCUUUGGCCUAACCACUCUGGUUUAGCUUCCAUUUACUAAACCGGAUGUAUAUAUAUAUGAGUGUCGAUACAGUUGUAAAGCUUAACUUGAGCUAAACACUCUUUUCACAGAAUAACAAACUUUCUAUCAUUUUGAUUCUCAAGUUGUAAUAAACACUACUCUUCUCUUCGUCCUUUCGUCAGAAGCUUCGUCCCUGCUUCUUCAAAAGUCCUCAUGGUUGGCUGUGGCAAUUCUCGUAAACUACUCUCACCCUUCCUCUCACUUUCUUGACCUUUAGAACAUUCCAAGUUGAAACUUUUUUUAACUGUUUUGUGCAGUUAUGUCAGAGGAUAUGGUCAAGGACGGGUACGAGGAUAUAAUGAACGUUGACAUAUCUUCAGUUGCUAUUGAGAUGAUGCGAACCAAACAUGCUUCUGUUCCUCAGCUUAAAUGUACAACACUUUACAUCUCCAGUUUCUGUUGCUUUUUUUUUUUGAAAAAUUAUGUAAAGGAAGAAGCUUUUAUUGAUACCCAACAGAUAUGCAAAUGGAUGUUAGAGAUAUGAUCUGCUUUGAAUACGAGUAUUUUGACACUGUCAUUGAUAAAGGAACACUUGAUUCAUUGAUGGUACGGAGUGUAUCUUGAAUCUUCUCAUUUUUUACAUGUCUCCUUGUUUAAAAUUUCUUCUUUUGUGGCGGUGUGUGUGUGUGCUUCCAGUGUGGGGAUGAUGCUGAUUAAACCUGGAGGGACCUAUUUCUUGAUAACCUACGGUGAUCCCAAAGUGAGAAUGCAUCAUCUGACUCCUUCUGCAUACAACUGGAACAUCUCCUUAUAUAUACUACGUAAUAAGCUUCCACUUCUUUUGCAAGAGUAUGAAACUGCAUUCUUUGCUUGAGCCCUUUUCAUCCCGUUUGCAGCAAGACCAGGGUUUAAAAAGCCAGGAAACAGUAGUAGCUCCUCAGCCAAACCGUGUCUGGAAGCUAUACCUUUGACAAGUGAAGGAAUGUUGCCACCUGACUAUGUUCUGGAGGAUCCUGAUUCCCAUUUUAUUUACAUAUGCAAC